rnacentral:rRNA from 1 species
AACGAACGCUGGCGGCGCGCCUAAUACAUGCAAGUCGAGCGAGAAGACGUAGCAAUACGUUUGUAAAGCGGCGAACGGGUGAGGAAUACAUGGGUAACCUACCCUCGAGUGGGGAAUAACUAGCCGAAAGGUUAGCUAAUACCGCGUACGCUCCUCGGACUUCGGUUCAGGGAGGAAAGCGAUACCGUGGGUAUCGCGCUCUUGGAUGGGCUCAUGUCCUAUCAGCUUGUUGGUGAGGUAACGGCUCACCAAGGCUUCGACGGGUAGCUGGUCUGAGAGGACGAUCAGCCACACUGGCACUGCGACACGGGCCAGACUCCUACGGGAGGCAGCAGUAAGGAAUAUUGCGCAAUGGGCGAAAGCCUGACGCAGCGACGCCGCGUGGGGGAUGAA